rnacentral:rRNA from 1 species
UACGUAGGGGGCAAGCGUUGUCCGGAUUUAUUGGGCGUAAAGAGCGUGUAGGCGGCCACACAAGUCUGCUGUGAAAACUCGAGGCUCAACCUCGAGAUGUCGGCGGAAACCAUUUGGCUAGAGUCCGGAAGAGGAAAGUGGAAUUCCUGGUGUAGCGGUGAAAUGCGCAGAUAUCAGGAAGAACACCGGUGGCGAAGGCGGGUCUCUGGGCCGUAACUGACGCUGAGGAGCGAAAGCGUGGGGAGCGAACAGG